GACGUAGGGUCCAAGCGUUUGUCCGGAUUUUACUGGGGCGUAAAGAGCGCGUAGGCGGCUCGUUAAGUGUGAAGUGAAAUCUCUAGGGCUCAACCCAGAAACUGCUUCGCAUACUGGCGAGCUGGAGUGACGAAGAGGUUUUGUGGAAUUCCUGGUGUAGCGGUGAAAUGCGUUGAUAUCAGGAGGAACACCGAUGGCGAAGGCAGCAAACUGGUCGUCAACUGACGCUGAGGCGCGAAAGCGUGGGUAGCAAACAGG
rnacentral:rRNA from 1 species